GAACUGAAGAGUUUGAUCCUGGCUCAGAUUGAACGCUGGCGGCAUGCCUUACACAUGCAAGUCGAACGGCAGCACGGGUGCUUGCACCUGGUGGCGAGUGGCGAACGGGUGAGUAAUACAUCGGAACAUGUCCUGUAGUGGGGGAUAGCCCGGCGAAAGCCGGAUUAAUACCGCAUACGAUCCACGGAUGAAAGCGGGGGACCUUCGGGCCUCGCGCUAUAGGGUUGGCCGAUGGCUGAUUAGCUAGUUGGUGGGGUAAAGGCCUACCAAGGCGACGAUCAGUAGCUGGUCUGAGAGGACGACCAGCCACACUGGGACUGAGACACGGCCCAGACUCCUACGGGAGGCAGCAGUGGGGAAUUUUGGACAAUGGGCGAAAGCCUGAUCCAGCAAUGCCGCGUGUGUGAAGAAGGCCUUCGGGUUGUAAAGCACUUUUGUCCGGAAAGAAAUCC
rnacentral:rRNA from 1 species